CUGUUUCACAAGAUGUAGGGAAUGAUUGCGUAAAGGUGUCUCCCAAUUUCUCUUCUCUAUGACAGCAUAUAAAAGUGCUCGUAACUCCGGUGUCUUUAGCUGCCUCUGCUGACUUAUUCCUCCUGGUGACUGGGUUGACUUGCCUACCGGAAAGAUGUCCUAUGGACAGAUGGUAAGCUUCCGCUGUGGUCAGCCGUGCGAAGCGAUAUGUCCACAACCGUAUGCCGACUCUCGGAACGAGCCAUGCAUUGCCACGUGUGGAGACUCAAGAGCAAUUGUGUACGCACCACCCGUUGUUGUGACUUUCCCAGGACCCAUUAUCAGCUCAUGUCCUCAGGAAAGCAUCGUGGGAACUGCCAUGCCUGAAAUUGAGGGUGGAGGCAUGGGCUCUGGAGGAGGAGGAAUGGGCUCUGGAGGAGGAGGAAUGGGCUCUGGAGGUGGAGGCAUGGGUUCUGGAGGUGGAGGAAUGGGCUCCGGAGGUGGAAGCAUGGGCUCUGGAGGAGGAGGCAUGGGGUCCGGAGGUGGAGGCAUGGGUUCAGGUGGCUCAUAUGGUGGAGGUGGAUCCUGUGGGAUGGGCUCCCAUAGCUCUGGGGGCUCUUAUGGUGGAAUGGGAGGUGGUUCAUACGGUGGGGAGGGAUCGUGUGGUGGUGGAUACUCUCGUUUGGGAGGCUAUUACCGAACCUCAUUUUAUUCAGGAUAUGGUAGAAAUUAUUUCCCAUUUUAUUCUAGGUACUAUAGGUACCGCUAUGGAAACUGUGGGCCAUUUUAAGUCUUUAAGACAGAGUAAUGACUGAAGAAAUGAUAAGAUACAAACCAAUGGUUGACUUGUAGGGCUGGAAAUCAGAUGUGUCAAGCAGCCUCUGCUCCAGCUGUGGAGUAGGAGCUGGGGUUGCUUGACAUCUCUUUGUGCUAUGUUUUGUCUAAGGCUUAAAAUCCCAAUGUUGUCAUUUGCUCACUUUGUCAUUUGCUCAUGUUAUGUUUUGAUCUUUCUGAACCUGAAGAGGGUAAAACAAUGGGACUUGACUGUGGAUGCUUCUGACUGCGAGAACACCUUGUGAACCCUGUGUUCCUCUGAACACCUGAUCGAUUGCAGUCCUUGUUGAAAUGGAAAUUACAUUCUUUUUCUCUGUGUUGCCUCAUUCUACAAGAAUGUAUUCCACAUCUUGUUUCUAUUAAAACCCUGUUGCAUCAUA